rnacentral:rRNA from 1 species
GAUGAACGCUGGCGGCGUGCUUAAUACAUGCAAGUCGAACGGAGUAUGUAGCAAUAUAUACUUAGUGGCGAACGGGUGAGUAACGCGUUGGUGACCUACCCCUUAGCGGGGGAUAACAGAUCGAAAGGUCUGCUAAUACCCCAUAAGCUCUCAGAGGUUAGAGGCUCUGAGAGGGAAGGCGAAAGCCGCUGGGGGAGGGACCUGCGUCCCAUCAGCUAGUUGGUGAGGUAACGGCUCACCAAGGCGACGACGGGUAGGGGGCCUGAGAGGGUGACCCCCCACACGGGCACUGGAACACGGGCCAGACACCUACGGGUUGCAGCAGUAGGGAAUAUUGCACAAUGGGCGCAAGCCGGAUGCAGCAACGCCGCGUGCGCGAUGAAGGCCUUCGGGUCGUAAAGCGCUUUUCGGGGAGACGAGGAAGGACGGUAUCCCCGGAAUAAGGAUCGGCUAACUACGUGCCAGCCGCCGCUGUAAUAC